rnacentral:rRNA from 1 species
CUCUUUGAAAUUAAUAAAGAGUCUGAUCUGCCCAGUGACGUUCGUUAAACGGCUGCAGUAUCCUGACUGUGCGAAGGUAGCAUAAUAAUAUGUCUCAUAAUUAGAGAAUGGAAUCAAUGAUUUGACUAAGAUAUACCUGUCUCUUGUAUAUUUUGUAAAAAUUGACCUACAGGUCAAAAGGCCUAAAUAAAAUUAAAAGACGAGAAGACCCUAUUGAGCUUCGACUGGGACAAAAAAAACUCCCUUUAAAUAAAUAUAAUACAUAUUUUUUGAUCCAAAAUAUUUUGAACAAAAAAUAAGCUACCAUAGGGAUAACAGCGUUAUUCUUUUUGAGAGUCCCAAUCGAAAAAAGAGCCUACGACCUCGAUGUUGGAUUAGGAUAAGAAGAGGUUGCAGAAGCUUCUUUUUUUAGUCUGUUCGACUAUUAAU